rnacentral:piRNA from 1 species
UCUGUGUCUCAUUCGGAUUCAGUGCAGUAU